UACGUAGGGUGCAAGCGUUAAUCGGAAUUACUGGGCGUAAAGCGUGCGCAGGCGGUUAUGUAAGACAGAUGUGAAAUGCCCGGGCUUAACCUGGGAACUGCAUUUGUGACUGCAUGGCUAGAGUUUGGCAGAGGGGGGUAGAAUUCCACGUGUAGCAGUGAAAUGCGUAGAUAUGUGGAGGAACACCGAUGGCGAAGGCAGCCCCCUGGGUCAAGACUGACGCUCAUGCACGAAAGCGUGGGUAGCAAACAGGG
rnacentral:rRNA from 1 species